rfam:Ardenticatena maritima DNA, contig: NODE_80, strain: 110S.
GUUGGUGACUUUCGCGGUGGGGGUACACCCGGUCCCAUCCCGAACCCGGCAGUUAAGCCCACCAGCGCCGAUGGUACUGCGCGGGCAGCCGCGUGGGAGAGUAGGUCGUUGCCAACC